UACGUAGGGUCCGAGCGUUGUCCGGAGUUACUGGGCGUAAAGCGCGCGCAGGCGGCGCGGUCAGCAUGGCGUGAAAGCCCCCCGGCUCAACCGGGGGAGGGUCGUCGUGGACUGCCGCGCUUGAGGGCGGUAGGGGCUGGUGGAAUUCCCGGUGUAGUGGUGAAAUGCGUAGAGAUCGGGAGGAACACCCGUGGCGAAGGCGGCCAGCUGGGCCGACCCUGACGCUGAGGCGCGAAGGCGUGGGGAGCGAACGGG
rnacentral:rRNA from 1 species